CAUCCGUCUGCCCUGGGCAGUGACCGGGCGCCCGCAGGGAAUUAUGAGAGGAGAAGGGAGCCCGGCCCCGCGGGGUCCAGGGCUCUGGUGGCCGAGUCCGCGCUGGGCGUCGGCGGGCGGGGGGAGGCGAGGCGGGGGGAGACUCGGCCCUCCGUGGGCCGUGGCCAGCACGGGGCGGGGCUGUUCAGCAGGGAUCGAUCCCUUGUUCGGUUUCCGCAGAGGUGCGCUGCCUGCCUGUGGGCGGGGCGGGGCCGAGUCCCUGGGCGUGGGGCCCGCGAAUGGGCUGAGCGCCCAGCCGCCCGCGGCCUGCAGAGCGGACCAGGUGGCCGCGGGGAGCACGUUCCUGCCACACUUGAAACGCACCAGAAUGUUAGUAGCCAGCAAUCACCCCCUGCCCCGUGACACCAGCUGCUGGUGGGCAUCGCAUCUGUCAGAGCAAUGGCUUCAGGUUCCACUCAGGAUUCCACCCUUUUUAAUGCCUGAAGAGUUUCCGUGGGGCAGAGCACCGUGUUUCCUUUCUCCAUGCUUCAGUCGGUGGACACUUGAUUUAUUUCUAUUUCUUGGUUACUCUUAGUAGUGCAAAAUAAACGCAGGAAUACAGAUUUCUCUUCCAUAUACUGAUUUUAUUUAUUUUGAAUAUACACCCAGUAGCAGGAUUGCUGGAUCAUAUAGUGGCUGUAAUUUUACUUUCUCUUUUCUUUCUCUCUUUCUCUCUCUCUCCUUCCCUCCCCCAUUCUGUCUGUCUCAUCCUCUCUUUUUCUCUUUUAUAAGGAUCCGGGGAAGUGGACGUGACUGGAGAGCCCUGCAGCAGGUCCCAGCCUCCUGUGAGCCACCACAGCAC
rnacentral:lncRNA from 1 species